rnacentral:rRNA from 1 species
AACGAACGCUGGCGGCAGGCCUAACACAUGCAAGUCGAACGCCCCGCAAGGGGAGUGGCAGACGGGUGAGUAACGCGUGGGAACCUACCCAGUGGUACGGAACAACCCAGGGAAACUUGGGCUAAUACCGUAUAUGCCCUCAGGGGGAAAGAUUUAUCGCCAUUGGACGGGCCCGCGUUGGAUUAGCUAGUUGGUGGGGUAAUAGCCUACCAAGGCAACGAUCCAUAGCUGGUCCGAGAGGAUGAUCAGCCACACUGGGACUGAAACACGGCCCAGACUCCUACGGGAGGCAGCAGUGGGGAAUCUUGGACAAUGGGCGCAAGCCUGAUCCAGCCAUGCCGCGUGAGUGAAGAAGGCCCUAGGGUUGUAAAGCUCUUUCGGCGGGGACGAUAAUGACGGUACCCGCAGAAGAAGCCCCGGCUAACUCCGUGCCAGCCGCCGCAGUAACAC